UUUUUCUUCUGUAGAGGCAAGGUCUUACUCUGUUGCCCUGGCUGGAGUGCAGUGGUGCGAUCACAGCUCAUUGCAGCCUUGAGGACUGUGGGCUCAGGAGAGAGAAGGAAGUCCUGUUUAUUGUUGCUUCCAAGGUACUCUGCAAUAUCUGACACAGCAUGCGGUAAAUAAUACCUAUUGAGGGCAUGGGUGAGAUCUUAGAGCCACGUUUAAUCACUCACUUUGUCCGGUUUUUUUUUUUUUUGAGAUGCAGUCUUGCUCUGUCACCCAGGCUGUAGUCCAGUGGUGUGAUCUCAGGGCUUCUCACCAAGGCCGAGAUGGACCGGAUACUACAUGGCCUAGACAAGGUGGCUGAGGAGUGGGCCCAGGGCACCUUCAAACUCAACUCCAAUAAUGAGGACAUCCACACAACCAAUGAGCGCCGCCUGAAGGUUCACUGAG
rnacentral:lncRNA from 1 species